UGGGGAAUCUUGGACAAUGGGGGCAACCCUGAUCCAGCCAUGCCGCGUGAGUGAUGAAGGCCUUAGGGUCGUAAAGCUCUUUCGCCUGUGAAGAUAAUGACGGUAGCAGGUAAAGAAACCCCGGCUAACUCCGUGCCAGCAGCCGCGGUAAUACGGAGGGGGUUAGCGUUGUUCGGAAUUACUGGGCGUAAAGCGCACGUAGGCGGACCAGAAAGUUGGGGGUGAAAUCCCGGGGGCUCAACCCCGGAACUGCCUCCAAAACUAUUGGUCUAGAGUUCGAGAGAGGUGAGUGGAAUUCCAAGUGUAGAGGUGAAAUUCGUAGAUAUUUGGAGGAACACCAGUGGCGAAGGCGGCUCACUGGCUCGAUACUGACGCUGAGGUGCGAAAGUGUGGGGAGCAAACAGGAUUAGAUACCCUGGGUAGUCCACGCCGUAAAACGAUGAAUGCCAGACGUCGGGGGG
rnacentral:rRNA from 1 species